UACGUAGGGGGGCAAGCGUUGUCCGGAAUUAUUUGGGCGUAAAGAGCGUGUAGGCGGUCCGAUAAGUCGGCUGUGAAAGUCAGGGGCUCAACCCUUGAAAGCCCGGCCGAUACUGUCGGACUAGAGUCCGGAAGAGGCAAGUGGAAUUCCCGGUGUAGCGGUGAAAUGCGCAGAUAUCGGGAGGAACACCGGUGGCGAAGGCGGCGACCUGGGUCGAGACUGACGCUGAGGCGCGAAAGCGUGGGGAGCAAACAGG
rnacentral:rRNA from 1 species